UAAUCAGUUAACACAGCACUGAUAUCCAGACUAACCUUGCUGCACCUAUUUUCCAUGAAGCAAUUGUAACGCUCAAAAGCACUUUUAUUUCAAGACACUGUCAAACUUACAUUUGUUGUAUUCAAAGCCAGAACUUCCAGGGAUUAAAUCUAAGGUGAGGGAUUUGAAAAUGCCACUGAAGCAAGUCAGGAGGUUGAGAUUGCACCACACCACAACGAAGCAGCGCGAGGUCUUUUACCUGUGAACUGAAAUGUGGCUGUACCAUAGCUUGCAGAUGUGGUAUGAUAAAUAGAAUUUGGCAGAAGUACUCACCUUUCUCUUACGUAAGCUUAUCUGAAAACCUGUCAAAAAGAAAUUACCUGAAAGGGAGAUUCUGCCUUGAAAAGGAAGACUACGUGCAGGAGGAGAUGCAUAAUCAAGAUUCUAAAGAUUCUAAGCCCUUUCACGAGACAAAGCUGGAGAACCUUGACAGGCCUAGAUGGCAUAUGACGAAAUUUGGAAGGAAAGAAAAACAGCUAAGAAGUUGGGUAGCUUUCAGAAUUCCCUACAAACAUGCUGCAGUUGUGACACUGACUGUUCUUUUAGGUCAGCAACGACAGUCAUACUCCUUCACUGGAACAAAAUCAGAGCUGAAGCCUUGUCCUGUGACUAAUGGGGAAGCAAGUGUGAGCUGCAAGACCCGGUGUCUCUGCUCUUGCAGCCUAUCAAGAAAAAUCAAAGUGACUCAUGCAAACAGCCCGCAGUCACAGAAGAACGGAUCCCAACUGGUCCUCUGCAUCUCGCAAAGCUGUGUCCCACAGGGUGUAAGUAACGCCCAAAUGUACUG
ensembl:lncRNA